CUUUCAGCACUCCACUUCCUCAACUCACCUUUUCUCCCCUGGUGCGUCUUCUCUGAGGCUGAGCCUCCCUCCCUUCUGUUUGGUAGAAGCUCUAGACAUUAUUUGGAAUCUGAUUUGGAAAUACAACUUCUACCAGAAUAAUGCUGGCCCAGCUCUUUGAGAUAAUAACGAAAGACUGUUGAAGAGAUAAAGUUGAAGUGAAUAAUGAAAUCCAGGAUCCAAUGAACAGAAUAUUCCACAAAAGAGUGAAAAAUCCAAACUUAAGGAGCAUUACUUUGAGAAAGUUGAAAGAAAAAAACAGUUGUAAAACAUGUAGAGAUGUUCAAAGAUCUAAGAGUAGGAUCAAAACACCAAUCAACCUUCUUCUCUUCUCCAACUCAUCAAAUCUCACAGAAUGA
rnacentral:lncRNA from 13 species